UAGGGAGUUGAUAUGUGGUUGUCUAAGUUUUCAUGUGGUUGCUAGGGAGUUGCUUUUGUGGUUGUCUAGGUGUUCAGGUGGUUACUAAGGAGUUGCUUUGUGGUUGUCUAGGUGUACAGGUGGUCACUAAGGAGUUGCUUUGUGGUUGUCUAGGUGUUCAGGUGGUUACUAAGGAGUUGCUUUGUGGUUGUCUAGGUGUUCAGGUGGUUACUAAGGAGUUGCUUUGUGGUUGUCUAGGUGUUCAGGUGGUUACUAAGGAGUUGCUUUGUGGUUGUCUAGGUGUACAGGUGGUUGCUAGGGAGUUGCUUUGUGGUUGUCUAGGUGUUCAGGUGGUCACUAAGGAGUUGCUUUGUGGUUGUCUAGGUGUUCAGGUGGUUACUAAGGAGUUGCUUUGUGGUUGUCUAGGUGUACAGGUGGUUGCUAGGGAGUUGCUUUGUGGUUGUCUAGGUGUUC
ensembl:lncRNA